GACGAACGCUGGCGGCGUGCUUAACACAUGCAAGUCGAACGGAAAGGCCCCUUUGGGGUUCUCGAGUGGCGAAAGGGUGAGUAACCCGGGGAUUACCCUGCCUUGACUUCGGGGUAACUUCAGGAAACUGGGGCUAAUACCGGGUAGGAAACCUUUCCGCCUGGGGGGGGGUGGGAAGGUUCGGCGGUUUUGGGUGGACUCGCGGCUUAUCAGCUUGUUGGUGGGGUAGUGGCUUACCAAGGCUUUGACGGGUAGCCGGCCUGAGAGGGCGACCGGCCACAUUGGGACUGAGAUACGGCCCAGACUCCUACGGGAGGCAGCAGUGGGGAAUAUUGCACAAUGGGCGGAAGCCUGAUGCAGCAACGCCGCGUGCGGGAUGACGGCCUUCGGGUUGUAAACCGCUUUCAGCAGGGGCGAAGCUUGUGGUGACGGUACCUGCAGAAGAAGCACCGGCUAACUACGUG
rnacentral:rRNA from 1 species